GUGUUUGUAACCAGACCAGUAAUCCAUGGCUGGAGGAGCCGUGCUGAUGGAGGAGUCGUGCUGAAGGCCCUGCCUUGUGGAGGAGCUGGUGGAGGCCCUGCCUGGUGAAGGACGUCUGUCGUGGGACCAGGACUCUGUCUGAGGAGAGCUGCUCGAGAAGCUGAGACGCUGGAGGACGACUAGGAAUCGACCAACAAGGAUUCCUCAACGUGUUUCUGGAGCGGAGGCGAGCUGGUAGGGGAGCCGUGAAUCUGGAGGAUGACCAUCACUCUACCAACAAGGAUUGUAAACACACCUGAGCUGAACCUCACCUGAUCCUGUUUGGUCGGGGGUAGACACACCUGAGCUAAACCCGCCCUGAUCCUGACAUCCUGCUGGUCCCGUCUCCUCAGUUCAUCUGAGCCUCGUCCUCUAGAAGACCUGCUGAGCUCAGCAGUCUGAGGCUGAUGGAUCAAUGAUUUUCUUGAUCCCACAUGUAACCGUGUGCUUCCACACGCCUUUCCGUCACGUCUGUCACUAACCUCACUACUUCACUACUCUCUACUGCUUCCUCUUUUCUUCCUUCUCUGUGGUUCAAACCUUUACACUGAAGGCGCGUCUUCCUGCCCUCAGAGGGUUUAGCGUUAGGGUUGAGAGUCAGGGUUUAGAGUCAGGGACAGAGCUGGUCAGGGAGGACUGCUUUUACGCAAACCUCUUCACUUGCUUUCGGAAUGGUGGUGACAUUUUGAAAAGAUUCAUUUGGGAAAAUGUUUUCCUCUGCUUUCCUUUACAAAAUUGUAUUAAACUUCUGUCAAGUGUUUUUGUUUAUGUAUUAAAAUCCCACAUUGACUUCUACAUGUUUGGUGCGGUUCAUUUAAUUGUCCUUUAACUUGGUUAAUGUCAAGCUAAACUCCUGCAAUACAUUUAAUAUACAUGAUUGUUAUUCAGCAAUGUUCACAUAAUUCAUUUUGUAAAAAUAUGAAACCUCCAUAUUACUACUAAAUU